GAUGAACGCUGGCGGCGUGCCUAAUACAUGCAAGUCGAGCGAACAGACGAGGAGCUUGCUCCUCUGACGUUAGCGGCGGACGGGUGAGUAACACGUGGAUAACCUACCUAUAAGACUGGGAUAACUUCGGGAAACCGGAGCUAAUACCGGAUAAUAUAUUGAACCGCAUGGUUCAAUAGUGAAAGACGGUUUUGCUUUCACUUAUAGAUGGAUCCGCGCCGCAUUAGCUAGUUGGUAAGGUAACGGCUUACCAAGGCAACGAUGCGUAGCCGACCUGAGAGGGUGAUCGGCAACACUGGAACUGAGACACGGUCCAGACUCCUACGGGAGGCACCAGUAGGGAAUCUUCCGCAAUGGGCGAAAGCUUGACGGGGCAACGCCGCGGGGGUGAUGAAGGUCUUCGGAUCGUAAAACUCUGUUAUUGGGGAAGAACAAAUGUGUAAGUAACUAUGCACGUCUUGACGGUACCUAAUCAGAAAGCCACGGCUAACUACGUG
rnacentral:rRNA from 1 species